GCAUCACAAGGCAUCAUCACUGAUCUUGGAAUGAGCAGCAACCAUUUCUUCCUUCCAGUGUCUGAGCCGUAAAAAUGAGAUAUACUCAGAAACUGUGUCAAAGUAGAUGGAAUUUUCUGAGCAUUCUUUGGGCCAUCUGGGAUAAAAAAACAUAUCUCUUUGGUCUUGAUGACUGACAAGGAUUUCUGGAUUUCUUCACAUUUGUUAACAUUAUUUUGUUCUUCUUCCUCUCUUUCUUAUAAUCAUCAACUGCAUGGAAAGAGUGUAUAAAACGCAGUAUAUGGUCACAUCAAAUGAAACACACUGUAUUAGUAUUCAGAAAUACCUAUCUUAACAAAAUCUUACCCAGGCCAACUCAUCACUGUGGCUUGACACUGGAAAGAAACAGCAUGCAGAAUCAAGACCUUCAGAUGAAAGCAGCCCUAACAGACUUUCUGGAUGUACUUCUUCUUCUCAAUCCCGUAACACUGGUUUUCUGGUCUCAAGAGAUGCAACCUGAUGCAACCUGAUACAACCUGAUGCUCCUAAGCCAUGUUUCAGCUCCCAGCCUGUCUGUGUGUGUACUACUGUCACUGGCAUGAGAUACUUCCACUUGCCAUUGAGACGAGCAUUUACAAUGACAGAGGUGUUCAACAGUGUGAAAACUUGAGAUUUGUUCUUGAAAUUUCCUUUAUAAAGAAUUGUAUUGAAUUAUUGUUCUCCACUGCUUCAGAAUGUGGGUACAUUUCUAUCAGUCUCUGAAAAUUUGCAUGUCAUAACACUGAUAUAACCAGUAGUUUUGUCCCUGGAAUGACUGUAGAAGUACUACUUAUAAUGAGUUGAAAAUAAAUAUAGCAAAGAGACAGUUUGCAAGAGAUCUAAAUUAGGACUUCAGUGCAACAAGAAGAGUGCAUGGAGAUUCAUGAAUUCUUUAGAGAACCAUGUUACUCCAUCUGUGCACAGCUGGGAAUGAAAUCCGUGUAAAGCUGCUUUUACUUCUUUUAGCUCCUUUGGUGGUUUUUGCAAAACUCUCAUUCUUCAUCUAUAUCAAGUUAUAUCAGCUGACAUUCACCUAAGAAUACUUCUGAUCUAGAAAACUGUUACUGUGUUGAAGUCUAAGUAUUUUUCAGUUUGUCACAGUUUUCUUCCUGUUGUAAACAUGCACCAGUGCAAUUUAGUUUCCAGUUCAUUGGGUCAAAAGCCAAUCUUGUUAAUGUAUAUUACUUGCAGUUUGUGGGUAAACAGUAGUCAGAAAUUUUCUUUUCACUUUUAUAUCAGUCAAAAUUAAAUUACUAGAGAGAUUACACUUUUCUGCAACUUUUCUUGGUCACAGUAAUUUUGCUUACAGAUUGUUUUCUCCUUCUUUCAAAUCUAAUUUAAAUUAAUAGCUUCAAAUUAUAAAC